AAGUAUGAUAGCUAUCUGCACUCAUUCAUUAUGUCUGAAUACCUGUGACCUGUGCCAAGUCAUGUUUAAGCUUGUAUUUCUCCAUGUCUGAGGCCAAGAGGUGUUCUGCUACACUCAAAAUCAGAUUCCCUCCUUACUCAGUGUUACAUAAACCCACAGCUGCCCUUCUCCUCUUGCCUCUCCACACAUAACCAAUCGAGUCUAUUUUUAAUCCGUCAGCCACCAACGUCUGGCAAAUUGAGCCACACUGCACAGCUUGUUCUGAAAUAUAGGGGAAAUGUCCGCACAGUAGGACCAUGUGGUUUUGGAGUCCAGUCAAGUUAUUUUAAAGUGCCCCUAUGUGGCGCAUUGCACUGGGACCGCUCCUACCCCCUUCAUAUAUCAGAGCUAUCAACCGCGACAGGCUGACAUGCCAGGAAUGGACUGACCAAAUACCAGAGGAGGGAGAGUGGAGGGAGAGCGGAGGAUGAACCCGAGGUGCACUGUCAUGUUGGAACAAGGACACAGCUCAGACUUCAAUGUUAAUAGCACUGGGCUGAGGACCUUCAGGGCUGAUCUCAAACAUCACCAUGAAUGUGUUGCACCAUCUCACAUUUCCUGAUCUGACCAUUGGAAUCAGGACAAUCAUUUUUGAGGCAUUGGUUUUAAUGACAUGCUCACUUUCAUCAUGACAUUUAAUUUGUACCAAAGUAUUAGAUCCAUUUCACAGUUUCUGCUCGUCGCAUGUCAUCUUCAGUUUACUUAUAGCAUGGCUUUAAUUAGAUAAACAAGAAUCUAAACACUAGAGGUCUGACAUAGUAUUUGAAAUGUACAUAUUGUAAAAUAUUUUGGGAACGCUGUUUGCACAAAUGUUUGAUUUUAAAUGUUUUGGUAUUGUUUAGUUUUAAGUAUCUUUUAAAAAUCAUGUGCAAUGAAAAGGACCUUUUAGACCAUCUAUAGAUGUUACUGAUGCAAAAUGUGUUCUCCAUCAUUGGAUAUGCAGGUGGCAUGCUCGUUUAUGUCGUCUGUCCAGUUUCUCUGCCAGGUUUUGUCAUUUGUCAUCAUGGUUUGCCAAUUAUUUUACAAUAAGGAAAAUAUUGUACAUUAUAGAUGAAAUGAAAGCUAUAUUUAAGGAAAGCAUCAUUGAUGAAAGUCUUAUUUAUGAAAAAGGUGCCAUUCGGUGUUUGUAUGAAAUAAAUGUAAUUUGGAUUGACAA
ensembl:lncRNA